rnacentral:rRNA from 1 species
GAUGAACGCUGGCGGCGUGCCUAACACAUGCAAGUCGAACGGAGUCGUUUUGGAAAUCUCUUCGGAGAUGGAAUUCUCGACUUAGUGGCGGACGGGUGAGUAACGCGUGAGCAAUCUGCCUUUAAGAGGGGGAUAACAGUCGGAAACGGCUGCUAAUACCGCAUAAAGCAUUAAAUUCGCAUGUUUUUGAUGCCAAAGGAGCAAUCCGCUUUUAGAUGAGCUCGCGUCUGAUUAGCUAGUUGGCGGGGUAACGGCCCACCAAGGCGACGAUCAGUAGCCGGACUGAGAGGUUGAACGGCCACAUUGGGACUGAGACACGGCCCAGACUCCUACGGGAGGCAGCAGUGGGGAAUAUUGCGCAAUGGGGGAAACCCUGACGCAGCAACGCCGCGUGAUUGAAGAAGGCCUCGGGUUGUAAAGAUCUUUAAUCAGGGACGAAACAAAUGACGGUACCUGAAGAAUAAGCUCCGGCUAACUACGUG